GCAUCAAUUCAUUUCAAAUUUCUGUUUAAUUUCGUAAUAGUUCAUAACAUUUUAUACAUUUUUUUGAAACAUUAAUAUUUUUAUGCACUUUUUUUCAGGUAGUUUUUUGUCUCUUUUUUAUACACAAAAUCAUUGUGAAAUGUAUCCACUCAACUCCGAAUUGUAGCAAAUAGAAAAUCAGAUUGCAAAAUUCAGCCUAUGCCGUGUCUAGUAAGAUAUGGGCUGACAUUUCUGAAUGAGCAAUUUCUGCCUAAAUUUUGAAAUUCAUUUUUCAAGUCACUUCAAUAUGGCGUUUAGGGAACAGACAAUUAAAUCUUUAAUCAGUUGAUGGUGUUAUCCUGUCACCAUUUUAAUUUCAUACAUAAGAGCAAGCUAAGAUCUGGAAUUUGCGAGAGGCACAGUCUGAUCCAUCCUGAAUCACUGACUGAAACCUAAUCUAACGAGGUAUGAUGCAGAACUGGUAAUUUUGUGGGAGGUUUCCUACCCCACUUAUUGAUGGAGUGAGGUCGAUGAGGUCAGGAUGUUGAAUGGGCUGGAAAUCAAAGCUUUGUAGAAUGGUGGUAAAAAAGAUAAAAAGCUCCAUACGUGCCAAACCCUCUCCCAGGCAGAUACGCUUUCCUG